UUUUUUUUUAGAAAUAAAAUUCACAGCAAAAUAAAGAUUGUGAUUCUAUUGCUCACUGCCUCCUUCCAAGUGAUCUGCUGCCCGCUAGUAGUUUAUGAAUCUGCCAUAUUUUUCAUGAUGUUCAGUGUGACAGAUUUUGCCUCUGACAAACGUAUCUCCAUAUAAGGAAUUUAACCAUAACUGAGCUUGAGGAAUAUCAAUAGUUUCCUUCAAAUUCUUAUUCAUAUUAGCUGUGACCGGGAAAGUUCUGCAGAGGUUCUUUGGAAAUCUGGAAGAAUUUUAUUUCCCUGAUUUGGUUGAAGCUUGCCUAAGUAUUGAGAUUCUGUGCUUAAAAGAGAUAGAGGAUACAGCACCAAGAAGAAGGAAUCUUUCAAGAAGCAGGAGGGAGCUUUUGAAUAGUUCAUCUUCAAAAAAUUGUUUAUGGUUCAAGUUCAUAACGACUCAGGUAACUUGCAAAC